rnacentral:lncRNA from 1 species
CAAGGAUUGUGUGUUAUUAUCCUAUACAAAUUAGGCCUUUAAAUCCUUUUCCUUUGCUACAUAGGGGUUGCGAAUUUCAGCCUAUAAAUACCAUCCUUUGCUGCACCAUUUAGUAACCACCCUCUACCAUAUUUUCACUACACCAUUCACCCAAACAUCCCUCUUGUGUCGUGAGUUUGCAAAGGAGAAGGAAGGAGACUCUUGGAGCCGUGCAUGCCAUUCAAGGAGCUUGGAUUGUUGGAGCAUUUCUAGGUGUUUUCUAUCUUUAUGUCAAUGUUUAAAUUUAUUUAUCUUUGUUUAUUUGCGAACAUGAGGAACUAAUUUCUUUGUAGUUAGAGGGGAAUUCAAAGCCAUGAUCAUAUGUUUUAUAUAACUUGAUUUCCUCCAGUUAUGAUUUCAUAAAUCGUGAAUGUGGUUUACUUAU